rnacentral:rRNA from 1 species
GAUGAACGCUAGCGGCAGGCUUAAUACAUGCAAGUCGAGGGGCAGCACAGAUAGCAAUAUUGGGUGGCGACCGGCAAACGGGUGCGGAACACGUACACAACCUUCCUUUUAGUGUGGGAUAGCCCAGAGAAAUUUGGAUUAAUACCACAUAGUAUAUUGGAGUGGCAUCACUUUGAUAUUAAAGAUUUAUCGCUAAAAGAUGGGUGUGCGUAUGAUUAGGUAGUUGGUAGAGGUAACGGCUCACCAAGCCUUCGAUCAUUAACUGGUGUGGGAGCACGACCAGUCACACGGGCAAUGAGACACAGGCCCGACUCCUACGGGAGGCAGCAGUAAGGAAUAUUGGUCAAUGGACGGAAGUCUGAACCAGCCAUGCCGCGUGAAGGAUGACGGCCCUCUGGGUUGUAAACUUCUUUUAUGUGGGACGAAAAAGGGCCAUUUUUGGUCAACUGACGGUACCAUAGGAAUAAGCACCGGCUAACUCCGUGCCAGCCGCCGCAGUAA